UUUUAAUAAAGCCUUUUUGGUUUAUUGCACAUCAUAUAAAACUGACUGCACUGUAUUUGAAACAGACGAGGACAUUCACAAGGAUGGAGAAACCAAGGUUUCCUUCUUUCCUGGCCCUCAUCUUCCUCCACACUGCUCCUGAGGCUGGAGGCAGCUUUAACCCAAAGAAUGGAAUCCGCUAGUGAACAUGUUUGUUUUGUGGCCACGGAUUCUUGAGAGGCUGGGAUCUGGGCGUCAUCAUUGAGGCCUGGAGGUGCCUCCUUGGUGGGCGACCUGCUUGGGGGUGUGAUGCUUUCAUGAUGCUUCCUUUGAUGUCGGGGGCCCUUGGU
ensembl:lncRNA novel transcript